CGAACAACGUGUAAGAAAGAGAGGGAGUGCGAAAAUUCGAGACAUCGAAACGAAAUCUAAAUCGGCGAAUUACGCGAGACGUAAACGAGAGAGAAAACUGCGGCGAUUAAUUUUUAUCGCGUCGAUAUUAAUCGAGCCGACAGCGACGAUCGAUCCGAGAUUCGAACAAAAGAUACGAGUCGCGCUACCGAAACGAAUCGGUAUAGGCGAUGAAAUUGAGAAAAUGGGUAGGCGCGUGCGCGUGCAUUUAAACGAGCAAAAGGUACACGGAAUUAGAUAA